GGAUGUAAGGGCGAUCUGGCUGCGACAUCUGUCACCCCAUUGAUCGCCAGGGUUAAUUCAGCUGAUCUGGCUGGCUAGGUGGGUGUUCCCUUCCUUCCUCACUGCUCCAUGUGUGUCCCUCCCAAAGCUGCACCGCUAGGUCAAAAAGGAUGACCUUCCCCACAUAGAGGAGGACCGGUCUUUGGUCAAAGGUAUACAAGUAGCUGCUCUCGCCUGCUAGAACCUCCAAACAAGCUCUCAAAAAAUGGCAUUAAUCGGGUCUUCAGCUCAGGAGUAGAACAAAUAAGACAGAGGUCUAUCAUAACAUCUGGCUCAAAGUGUUUUUUU
ensembl:misc_RNA 7SK 7SK RNA